rnacentral:rRNA from 1 species
CCCUGCUUGCAGGGUGGAUUAGUGGCGAACGGGUGAGUAACACGUGAGUAACCUGCCCCUGACUGCGGGAUAAGCCCGGGAAACUGGGUCUAAUACCGCAUAUGACACUUGGCCGCAUGGUCUGAGUGUGGAAAGUUUUUCGGUUGGGGAUGGGCUCGCGGCCUAUCAGCUUGUUGGUGGGGUAAUGGCCUACCAAGGCGACGACGGGUAGCCGGCCUGAGAGGGCGACCGGCCACACUGGGACUGAGACACGGCCCAGACUCCUACGGGAGGCAGCAGUGGGGAAUAUUGCACAAUGGGGGAAACCCUGAUGCAGCGACGCCGCGUGAGGGAUGACGGCCUUCGGGUUGUAAACCUCUUUCAGUAGGGAAGAAGCCUUCGGGUGACGGUACCUGCAGAAGAAGUACCGGCUAACUACGUGCCAGCAGCCGCGGUAAUACGUAGGGUACAAGCGUUGUCCGGAAUUAUUGGGCGUAAAGAGCUCGUAGGCGGUUCGUCGCGUCUGCUGUGGAAACGCAAGGCUCAACCUUGCGCGUGCAGUGGGUACGGGCGGACUAGAGUGCAGUAGGGGAGUCUG